GGGGCGCUGGCGCAACGGUAGCGCGUGAGAUUCCAGUCCUCAAGGUUGAGCGUUCAAAUCGCUCGUGCCUCA
rnacentral:tRNA from 2 species